CUACCUGUGUUGGAAGCACAUGGAGUGAGCAGUCAAGAAUCCAGAGGUGGAUGGGGUGGGGGUGGGGCUGGAGCUGCUGGAGAGGUGAAAUAAACCAUUACUUCAUUACUUUAUUGGUGGGGUGUGAAUGGAUGCGAAAACACUUCUUGUGAACAGACCCUGUGUCUCAAGUUUCACACACACUAGAGAAACCACCUUAUGGUCCUAGAUGAUUAUUUACAUCCACUUGCCUUUGGCAGCUGAGGUUAAGUGCCUUAUCCAAAGACACAAUUAGCGGCAAAGGAAAACUAUGGAUAUUCUGGCUUCUAAUCCCAAAAUAUGAGAUCCAGAACUGAAGAUGCUAUAGCUCCUAGAAUAUUGCAGUGUUCCAAGCCUUUGAAUCAGACACCUCACUCAAAUCCCAGCUCUUCCAUCUGCCAGCUUUGUAACUUUGAGCAAGCUGCUUAAACUCUCUGGGCUUCAAUUUCUUCAUCUAUUAAGUGGAAUUAAGAACAGGGAUAAUACAUAUAAACUGUUCAGCGGAGGACCCUCUAUAGAGUAUUGGGUAAAUGCUUAUUAUUUUAAAGAUCAACUGUUAUUAUUGCUCCUUCCUCUCCACCAUGUAGAUUCAGACCCUUUCUCAUGGGAACCAGGAGGGCAUCCCAGAUACCUUUGGCCAGAUAGCCUCCUCACGGUAAUAAGGAGACGGGUCGAAGUCUGAAUGCGUGUUCCCCUUCCUAAUUCUACUUACAAUGCUUUACAGUUACAAGGAAACUAAAGCACAGACCACUGCAGUGACCUGGCCAAAAUCUCACAGUGGGAAGGCAGGUAGUACUCAAAGGCAAAUCUUUGGAUUCCACGUCCAGUGUUCUGUCCGUAACCUGUAUCUGCAGCGAAGGGCUCUGCUGGGUAAGGAGUCAGCUUCCCUCCACAGCCAGGGACAGCAAGGCCACCCUCCCCUCAGGCACCACAGGGUCUGCAGUCUCCUGUUUUAGGCUGUGUGGUACGUUCCACGUGUGAGUUCAGACACGGUACCCUGAUCCUGCCAAUUCCUGAACUGCCUUACCUGGGCCAUCAGGGCAGCCAUCUCGAGAGCCAGCUCCUUGUUGACAGGAAACCUCCCUGCCACUAUCUCCCCGCUAGUCUGGGAGGCAAGCAGCAGCCGCUCCCGCUCCGUCUCCCCUUUGACUUGACUCCGAAAGUACAGCCUACAGGAAAGACAGAAGAAGCCAAGACUCAGCUGGGAUCCUGAAUGGAUGAGGUUGUCUUGGCCUCUGUUUAUCUUGAUUUCCAAAGAAAGAAACUACUCUGUUUAUACCAUCUGUGAGCCUAUUUUCUAUUGCCUCCAGAAAAACUUAACUAAACAUGACACAGGGCAGAUACAGGGCCAUUAGAUCUCAGCAACAGUGGCACAUGUUACACCUGAAUACACCACCACGCUACUGGAUCUGGGGAGGGGAUCUGCUCCCUGGAACCAGAGCCUAUUAGGGAACUGGAUGAGUUAAAGAUUCCAAGAGACUAAUGGAAAUGAUUUGCCUAGAGACAUACCUGGGAUGGGAUUUUCUUAUUCAGAUGGAUAAAAAAAAAAUCCUGGUAUCUACUUCUGUAUUUCCUGGAAUUGUUAUAGGAGCUAUUUAUCCUUUAGCCUUAAAUAGUGCUCAAAGUUUCACUCUCCUAAUGUAACACAUGCAGCCAUCCCACAAGGUUGGUCUGUUUCCUUGGCAGGAGUAUGCGCGCGUGCGCACGUGUGUGUACAUACGUGCGGUACAGACACUGAGAGCCUGAGCUGUCCAGGUUCUCCAAGAGGAUCAGCAGAGCCUCAUUAGUUGGCCUCAUUAGUUGGGGCCCCAACUAAUGACCACUACACAGUGUUCUAUCUGUGGAUCCACUGCCUGUCCGGCACAGGCCAUCCAGCUGGGGGAGUGGCAAGUGGCGCCCCAGUGGCAGCCCUCAGUCUCGGCCCCACCCUCAGGUGGUGUUCAGGACCUGUUCUUGUACAUCAGCUUCACCACACGUGUGCCACCCUCAGCCUUUCCAGAGUGCAGCUCCUUCAGGGCCUGUUCCCACUUGGAGAUGGCAUCACAGAUCUUAAAAGAGGCAAGAGAGGAAAGUCAGAAAAGCCCCUGAUGAAGAGAACAAGGACCAAUCUGGGGCAGGACCCAGGCAGGGCGGCAGGGCAGCAGGGCAGCAUCGAGUGACUGUCCUCCAUUAGGAGGCUGACUUGCAGGCCUCACGUGCCUGAGACCAGAGGGGUCUAUAACAACCUCACAGACAGAGGUAGGGCCCUGGGCAUGGCGUGAGCAGCAAAGCAUGGAAGGCUGCCCCCACUGGCCUUAACACCUGAGGGGGCUUUCCCAGAGGCCAGGCAGGCGUCAGUCAAAAACCAUGGCCUCAUAUUACCAGCUGUUUCCAUUCCACCGACUGCUAUUCUCUUGAAGUAUACCCAGAGGCCUACCGUGUAACAAAGCCAAACAGACCCCCUGACAUUUAUAAACAAGAUAUGUGGCAUAGUUUUUCCAGGCAAUGGUAAAUAAAAGUCUAUAGAAGCCUUUGUCCUAUUGCCAUAAAAAGAGCAGACAGAACCAAAACACUCCUACUCAUCAAUGCUACAAUACGUUCCCACAGACACUUCACAUCUUGUCUGCUAAUCCCAGACAAGAUAGGUCUGAAAUCCCAUUCAAGGGUCCUUUACUUGUAGAGGUACCAUAUAGAUCUACCUGCUUACAAUUUGCUUGAACCAGUAAGUGCAGGCCCUGGCAGAUGGAAAGAUUGAGGGGCCAGGGAACAGCACCACAUCCAGUGGACCUAGGUGUACAGCUACCCACCUCCGUGUGUGGAUUGUGUGACUGGCAGCAGCCCCGGUUGGAGCUGCUGCUGACAAGUGCCUCCCUAUCCUUCCUACACCACGCUGAGAAGCAGCUUUUCCCCUGGACACUGCACAGCCCUUCAAGGGCGGGAGCAGUGUAGAGACAAGGGCACAAACAACUUCUCUCUGCCUGUACGGGUAUGUUUUAGGAUGCCACAAAAAUGCUGGCUUGGGGGAGCACCUUGGACUCCAAACCCAACAGGCUGGGGGACAGUAAGGCACCAGCCAGGGGGUUCUCUCCCCUCACCAAAACCCGGAAGCCUGGAGGUCUCCCAGGAGGGGCUCAUUUGGCUUACGGGGAGACCAUCAUCACCUUGAUGCUCCCCUGCAGGCAGUGUUCCAGGUCCCUGCCAGAAGGGUCAUCUGUGAAGAGGGCAAAGCCAGAGUGGGAUGACUUCCUCAUGCCCGUCUCUUGGUUCAGACGCUGGAGGAACUCAUCAACUGUGGAGGAGCCGUCAAAACCAACCACCUGCACGAGAGAGGUGUUAGUCCCAGAGGAAAUUUCCCGAGAGGAACUCAUUCCGGCUAGUGGACGCGUGUAUCUGGGAGGUGGAAAGGCCUGGCUGAGAGGAGCAAGGGCAAAUGCAAAAGCUAAAGGAAGCUGGUUUCCAUAUUCACACACAGAGGGUGAGUGCUUCAGAGACAAGCGGCCCGCUAUAAGCUGGAGGCAGACAGAAGCUCUGCUGCUCCUUGACUGCUGCUCUUUUGGAGGUCUUUUGUCCUGCCCCUUUCUUGGUCAAUGUCUUGGCUUCCCCGUUCGUGCAGUGGUUUCUAAAGAUCUACUUCCCAGGUGCCAAACAGCAGAGCACUUUUGGAGUUCAAGCUCCUUUCCCCCUCCACACAGGCAGUAACGGUCCCACCCCCACCUCCACACCCCAGGCCCAUCCUGCUGGUUUGCCUAUUAUUAAGAGUCUGCCAAGCCUAAGGAGGUUUAACACCCACCUGGCCCAAAGAUAGUCUCUGGGCCAGUGAUAUGAGAAGACUCAUGAGAGGGAUCCCGUGCGGCCUCCUCACCUGGUAAGUCCCAUUGGCGAAGUGCACGGGGAUGCUGAAGGGCAAGGAGUGGUGGAAGGGGUUGCGCAGCAGGAUGGACACCACUUCCAUGCGUGACGGCCUGGCCUCCCGCUCCCCCACCUGUAGAGUCCGCUCCACUGCCCGCUGGCAGUAGGUGGCAUACUGGCCAGUUUCAUUUCUAAAAAGGGAAGAAAGAAGAGAAUCCCAGGGAAUUCAUUCACCCCUGCCAUCUUGACACCUUGGCUGCCUACCCUGACCUAGCCGAGACCGAAUCCGCAGCUGGGCAGGCUGUGAAAAACGUGACGCUCUGGUCUGGGGUGUUAAUUUGUCAUUCAGGGCCUAUGUGCUGCAAAUUGCUGGCAGAGAUAUUUCCUCUGGAAGCCAGAAAUACAUGGCAACAGACCACGAAAAUGUGGGGAUGACUUGGGGACACCGGAGCUUCACGUGAGCACAUCCACAAAACACACAUACACAGACUGGUGUGCAGAGUGGCCCAGGCCUCCACAUGCCCAUCUGUGCACACAGCACUGAGGUCUCCGUGUCUCCAUGACCCCUGUGCAAACCACAGGGGCAGGGUGAUUUGACCCAUCUUGGUCCCCCCGUCCCUCUUCGCCAUGCCACCGUCAGCAGUGCUAGAGUGGCAUAGGAAAGGACCCUCACUCACGUGGGAUCUGCAUGGCGCUGGAGCUGCUGUUUGAUGUACCAGAGGAAGUGGUGCUGAGGCAGGAAAAGUGGGGCACACAGAGCCAGGAGCUGCCAGCACUGCCAGGGAACAAGCAGCAUGGGGUGAGUGCUGGGUCUGCGGCAAUGCCCGCCCUCACAGUCCUGAGCUACCAAGGCUUCAGUGCUCUCCAAACCAGGGCCCCCCACCUUCUGUGGACGGCAGGAUGGCCCAUCCUGGUCAGGCUUUGUCCAGAACGGCAGUCACCCAAUCUGACUAUGCACAGACAUCCAGAAGGGGCACAGAGAAGGCAGGUGUACUGAGGCAGCUUUGAGCACUGAGGCUGCCUGUUGGCCACCAGGCCUAGAGGGUACCUGCUCCAUUCCCUCCUUCCUCCUUCCUCCUUCCCUGCUCCUGGGCAGUCCCUGCCAAUGGCCCCGUCAGCUGUUUUGCCCCAGGAUGCCCACCUGCAUGAGGGAGUACUUCUGAGGUGGUCGGCAGCUGGUCUGCUUCAUCAGUUGGCAGUAGAUCUCGCUCUGCAGCUCGGGGUGAACCAGGCAGACCUGUAGUGCCGUCUGGGCCAGGGACACGUGAUAGUCUACGGAGGCCGCUUCCACAGGCACGUUGAUGAAAAGCUGGCAGGACUGGCACGAAAAUGGUGGUGGGCCCGGGCAGACCAACAGCCCCUUGACUAGCAUCCGCGGUGACAGUGGGCAGAUUGGGCCGUCCCCCCCAAGGGCUCCAGGCAGGCUCCAGUUCACUGUAGGAAGCCCUUUCUAAGAGGGAGCACUGUCACCGCUUGAGAGCAUGUCUGCCUGCUGAGAAGGCUACUCUGGGAUAGAAUCUAUCCUUCUUCAAAUGUGUCCGUUACAUAAGCAAGACAUUCUUUUUUUUUUUUUAAAGAGAACAUUCAGAUGGACACAAAGAACACUGUAAAAUAGGUCAGAAUCUCUGAGGUCCAGAAGCAACAUAAACCUGGCCUUUCCUGCUGUUCACUAUAAGAGAAAGGGAGUUCCUCCAGGGGGAGUUUCACCGGCACUUCCCAAGGAAGCCGGGAAUGCCUCCCCACCAUAACUGACUGUGCGGGGGGCAGCGGGGCGGGGGGCGGGGGAGCUGUGGGACUCUUUCCCUUCCAUUCAGAUCUUUCUGUGAGCUCCCCCUAACCACAUGGGUCUCUUCUACCUGAGCACCACCAAGGUGGGCAAACUGCUCUGGGAGAGUCUGGGUACGUGGUGAGGGCGCCACCUGUUGGUGCACCUGGGUUCCAUUCCCGCUUUACCUUGAAGAGCUUGAGAGCCUCGGUCUGCAGGGCCUCGGAGGGCAGGGUGGUGAGGGAGGUGUAUAGCCCGUCUUUGCUGUAACACAGCAUGGGGUGCCUCCAGAGAGGGGAAUCUGCCCAAAGCACAGCACCAGGGGUGAGGGAACUUGCCUCCCACCUCCACUCCCACUCUGAUUUGUGAAGAAAACAAGGGUUAACUGGAACACACGGACUGCACCGGAUUUAUCCGCAGAGUGGGGGGUAUGCAGUUGUACACUGCAUCUAGCAUGCUCACAAGCACGGCUUACAGGAAGGUGGCUACUGCCUUCUUCGUGGGGCUGCAGUGGGGGUGAGUGUGUGGGGCCGUGGGUACCUGCGUGCAAGCAUGUGUGUGCGGGAGAGGCCCCUCCCUGCAGUGUCAGAUAUGGAUGGACAGUGCCUGUCAGCGGGGAACACACAAGGAGCAGUGAAGGGGUGUGCGGCGUGUGCCAUUAGUUCCUCAGGGUCCUGAGAAUCAGUAGCAAAAUAAAGACCCUGUGAUACCCCAGGCUUAGGUUAGUCUAAUCCCAGUUUAGGCUUCAUUCAUU